GAUGAACGCUGGCGGCGUGCCUAAUACAUGCAAGUCGAGCGAACAGACGAGGAGCUUGCUCCUCUGACGUUAGCGGCGGACGGGUGAGUAACACGUGGAUAACCUACCUAUCAGACUGGGAUAACUUCGGGAAACCGGCUCUUAUACCGGAUAAUCUCUUGAACCGCAUGGUUCAAUAGUGAAAGUCGGUUUUGCUGUAACUUAUAGAUGGAUCCGCGCCGCAUUAGCUAGUUGGUAAGGUAACGGCUUACCAAGGCAACGAUGCGUAGCCGACGUGAGAGGGUGAUCGGCCACACUGGAACUGAGACACGGUCCAGACGCCUACGGGAGGCAGCAGUAGGGAAUCUUCCGCAAAGGGCGAAAGCCUGACGGAGCAACGCCGCGUGAGUGAUGAAGGUCUUCGGAUCGGAAAACUCUGUUAUGAGGGAAGAACAAAUGUGGAAGGAACUAUGCACGUCGUGACGGUACCUAAUCAGAAAGCCACGGCUAACUACGUG
rnacentral:rRNA from 1 species